GAAUUGACGGGGCCGCACAAGCGGUGGAGUAUGUGGUUUAAUUCGACGCAACGCGCAGAACCUUACCUAGACUUGACAUCCCGGGGAUUUUCUGGAAACAGAGAAGUGCUUUAGCAAUAAAGAACCCGGUGACAGGUGCUGCAUGGCUGUCGUCAGCUCGUGUCGUGAGAUGUUGGGUUAAGUCCCGCAACGAGCGCAACCCCCGCCUUUAGUUGCCAGCAUUCAGUUGGGCACUCUAGAGGGACUGCCGGUGUCAAACCGGAGGAAGGUGGGGAUGACGUCAAGUCCUCAUGCCCCUUAUGACCUGGGCUACACACGUGCUACAAUGGUUGGUACAACGAGUUGCGAGUCGGUGACGGCGAGCUAAUCUCUUAAAGCCAAUCUCAGUUCGGAUUGUAGGCUGCAACUCGCCUGCAUGAAGUCGGAAUCGCUAGUAAUCGCGGAUCAGCACGCCGCGGUGAAUACGUUCCCGGGCCUU
rnacentral:rRNA from 1 species